ACCUGGACAGAUGGACAGGAUCAAAGUCAGGGGCUCACUGGAUGGGGACUUGAGGAGUUUGGACCCUAUCCUGCAGGUGUUGAGUAGUCACUGAAGGGUACUAUGAACCAUAUUCACCUUUUAAAAGUCCCUAUGGUGGCAGUGUGACAGACAGAGGGUGAAAGCCAGAGGCAGGGAGACAAAAGGCAGGGACUCUGCAGCGCAUAGUUGCAGUGGGGAGAGAAAGAGAAACAGGUGGGUAAACUCAAGAGAGCAAAUAGAAUCUGUGACUCUAUGACCGAUUCGGUGCUGGGAAUGAAAUUUGUUUUGAAAUUAAACAAUAGAUUUUGGAAUCAUGCAUAAAAGGAUGGAUGAUGACUCUGCUAUUUCCAUAUGGAAAAAUAGCAAUUGGAGAAUUUUUCAAAAAUGCUGGUUUUCAACUUCCAUAUUGUUCAGUGGUUAAUAUAGCUCUUGGCUUAAAAGAUCCCUACUUCUUCAAACUCUCCGUGUCAUAGAAUCUGGAUUUUUAUUCUUUUUUAAAAGAUUUUAUUUAUUUAUUCAUGAGAGACACAGAGAGAGGCAGAGACAGAGGCAGAGGGAGAAGUUUUCUGCAGGGAGCCCAUCAUGGGACUCUUAUCCCAGGCCUCCGGGAUCAGACCUGAGCGAGCUGAAGGCAGAUGCUCAACCACUGAGCCACCCUGGUGCCCCUGGAUUCUAAUUUUUUAAAGGACCCCAGCCACUCUCUAGUUUGAAGCUCUCCUGUCCACUGCCCCAUCCCAUAGAGAGAAUUUAAAGGUGAAAGGUUUGGUCUGGGGCAAUACAGUAAUGGAAGCAGGGCCUACAGUGGCCCUGGUGGCUAGACACAGGUGAUACCCAGGCCACAUCCAUGCUUCUUAAGCAAGGACAAUAUGGAAUAUUUCUGUUUGGGUUCAAUUCCAAGAAAGAUUGUAUCCAUUCAGAUAAUUUUUAGGUUUUCUUUUUUACCACCGCUGUCACAAAAUUUAGGUCCAGAUUUAUUAUUCAAGUGUUAUAAUUUGCUCAGCUUGAGUGACUAAAAGCAUCUCUUCUCCCUCCUUCUAUGAGAAGAGCUUUGUUCUGUUUUAUCCUUCAAUACCUUACCUUGCAUGGCAUUUUAAAGCACCCUAUGUCCACCCUUAGAUCCUUUCAGAUGUUUGUGAUAGUAAAAAUUAUAAACAAAUAAAUUCAUCAACAAGUAGCUUUCUUCUAAGCAAGAAUAUAAUUCUAUAUUUUGUAUUUAUGGCUGACAUUGGCAUCAAGAGAUGUAUGCGAACUUGGAAUAUAAAAAUGUCAGGGCAUUUUCCAUGAGCAGUAGAAAGUGUCUAGUUAGUAUGAGUAGAACAAUUAGAAGCAUCCUUGGAAUUGUGGAUCUGUAAAACCUCUCCCAAAGCAGUGUUUGUCUUUGUUUGAAACAUCACCAGGCAAGCCUCUUCAUAUUAAUGGUACUUGCUACGUAUUUUGCUACUCUGGCUUCUUCAGUCUCCUACAGCAUCUUUUCCAGAAGAUUAUCUUGAUAAUUCAGUCAUGCUUCCUUCUCUCCAUCUUCAGUUCAAAUAUUUUUACUCGGAUUAAAUUUAAAAUGAGAGGAGAGUGUGUAAAAGCAUAUAACUAUAACUUAUACAAACAUAAAAAGAUGUAAUAAUAUCAGUACAGGAAAGGCAUAGGAAUUCUAGCUAGAAUAAAAGCAAAAGAAAUCUUACCAAGAAGAUGUGAUAAAUGGUGUCACUUAUGUGCUGGAGGCAGAUGGGAACUGUUCUUGUAAUAUGUUAAUUAUACGGCUAAAUUCUAGAAAUGAGAUUGGAAAGCUUUCUCAAAAUUUUAUGGGGGGAAGGUGUAGAGAAACAUAAGUUCUACUGUAGGUUUAGCAAGGUGUACAUUAGGAGGGAUUGGUCAUUCCAGUGGAGGUCAUCAACAAGUGGUAUGGGAGAGGCGAGCCUAUGGCAUCCAGGAAAAAUACAGCAUAAAAUGAACAGCUGUAUAAAUGACAUCAGAUGAAUCACUGGUGAAAUCAACACAGCUAGAGUGGGGAGAUUCAUUUAACUGUUGCUUCAGAAGCCAUGAAAAGAGCAAGAAGCCUGCAGACCGUCAUUUGUAGAAUGACCAAAAUUCACUGGGAACAUCAGCCAUUUUGAUCUGGAGUUUAAGAGAAGUGGUCCUUUGGCUCUCUGAGGGUCUGAUAGUUGAAAUGAGGAGAGCAGAACAAAGAGCGAAGGUACACACAAAGAAAUGUUAGAACAUCCCAAUGAUGAACUCCUGCUUGUGCCCUCACACGACUGGGCUAGCUCCACAGUGUUCACUUUCCUUAAAUACUCUUCCAAGAAUCCUUUCCUGACUUCCCUUUAGACAAACUAAAGGACUCUUUUAAGAGGCAAAGAUACUGGGAACGCAGAAAAAGGUGAACACUCACCAAAUGCACAAAGUAAUUGUUGGUGAAAGGUGUCUCUUGCUGUGCUCCCCAGGCAUCUCUGGCACUUCAGCUCCGCGCAGGCACUGGGCCCUGCACAGGUAGCCUCACCGGGGAAGGCUGGAAGGCCUGAAGCAAAGUAUCACCUUGCUGCUUUGAGUGCGGCAUUAGCAUCACCCAAAGAACCUGUUAGAAAUACAGGAGCUCCAGGCCUCACUCCAGACCCAGAGAAUCAGAAUCUGCAUUACAAAAAAAAAAAAAAAAAUCCUUAGGCGAUUCGCAGGUACAUUAAAAUUUUGGAAUAGAAGAGCUUCUAAAGGGAACCUCUGGCAGAAAGCAACACGGCCGUGACACCUGCUGUUAAGUGAGAAAAAUAGAGGGUUCAGCACCACGUGCACCCUCAAGGUGACAGCCACCAUGCCGAGAAGUUGCUGACCUGAAGGACCUGGAUCUUCCUCAGAUUUUAUUUAUUCAUUCGUGAGAAAGAGAGAGAGAGGGGGCAGAGACACAGGCAGAGGGAGAAGCAGGCUCCAUGCAGGAAGCCCGACGUGGGACUCCAUCCCGAGUCUCCAGGAUCACGCCCUGGGCCAAAGGCAGGCGCUGAACCGCUGAGCCACCCGGGCUGCGAGAUACUCGUCAUUUCUCAUGAACAAGCUGAUGUCGAGCCCUCUUUAUAUUUAUAUCUUUGGGCAACUCUGAGAAUUCAUUCUAAAUCCAAUGCAUUUAGCAAUUACCCCCUGAAACUGUCCUCAUCAAGUCUACCAAGGGCUUCUUCGUUGCAAACCUGGUAUUAUCUUUCUAAACCAUAUCUCGCCGAUCUGCAGCUUUUAAUAAUAAUAACUAUUCCCAUCUUGA